CGUGAGGGAGGGGGCUCUUGGGUUGUAAACCUCUUUUCUUGGGGAAGAAAAAAUGACGGUACCCAAGGAAUCAGCAUCGGCUAACUCCGUGCCAGCAGCCGCGGUAAUACGGAGGAUGCAAGCGUUAUCCGGAAUUAUUGGGCGUAAAGCGUCCGCAGGUGGCACUUCAAGUCUGCUGUCAAAGACCGGGGCUUAACCCUGGAGAGGCAGUGGAAACUGAAGCGCUAGAGUGUCGUAGGGGUAGAGGGAAUUCCUGGUGUAGCGGUGAAAUGCGUAGAGAUCAGGAAGAACAUCGGUGGCGAAAGCGCUCUACUGGACGACAACUGACACUCAGGGACGAAAGCUAGGGGAGCGAAUGGGAUUAGAUACACCCCGUAAACGAUGGAUACUAGGUGUG
rnacentral:rRNA from 1 species